rnacentral:rRNA from 1 species
GACGAACGCUGGCGGCGUGCUUAACACAUGCAAGUCGAGCGGUAAGGCCCUUUCGGGGGUACACGAGCGGCGAACGGGUGAGUAACACGUGGGUGACCUGCCCUCAGCUCUGGGAUAAGCCUGGGAAACCGGGUCUAAUACCGGAUAUGACUCCAUGACGCAUGUUGUGGGGUGGAAAGCCUUGUGCGGCUGAGGAUGGGCCCGCGGCCUAUCAGCUUGUUGGUGGGGUGAUGGCCUACCAAGGGCGACGACGGGUAGCCGGCCUGAGAGGGCGACCGGCCACACUGGGACUGAGACACGGCCCAGACUCCUACGGGAGGCAGCAGUGGGGAAUAUUGGACAAUGGGCGAAAGCCUGAUCCAGCCAUGCCGCGUGAGUGAUGAAGGCCUUAGGGUUGUAAAGCUCUUUUACCCGGGAAGAUAAUGACGAUACCGGGAGAAUAACGCCCGGCUAACUUCGUGCCAGCAGCCGCAGUAAG